rnacentral:lncRNA from 1 species
GUUCACAUGACCAAGCCUACAAUGCUAAAGGUAGGAUUCACUAACAUUAUCUAAUUUAAGAUGUUUACUGACCGUGUACAUUAUACUAAUAGGCCAUGAUAUUAUGUAAUGCCAUAUUUUAAUUGUCCACACAUAAUUGCAGGAUCAUUCAUAAUGAUAUCACAAAAAUUAUCCUUUAUUAUAAACUUGUAAUCAAGUUUGGCCAAAACACCUAC